CAUUGAUGCUUGCAUCAGAUGACGAGUGGCGCACGGGUGAGUAACGCGUAUACAAUCUACCUUUUACAGGGGGAUAGCCUUUAGAAAUGAAGAUUAAUAUCCCAUAGUAAGUAGUUUUGGCAUCAAGACAACUUUAAAGUUUCGGCGGUAAAAGAUGAGUAUGCGUUCUAUUAGUUAGUUGGUAAGGUAACGGCUUACCAAGACCACGAUAGAUAGGGGCCCUGAGAGGGGGAUCCCCCACACUGGUACUGAGACACGGACCAGACUCCUACGGGAGGCAGCAGUGAGGAAUAUUGGACAAUGGGCGCGAGCCUGAUCCAGCCAUGCCGCGUGCAGGAAGACUGCCCUAUGGGUUGUAAACUGCUUUUAUACAGGAAGAAACCUUUUCACGUGUGAAAAGCUGACGGUACUGUAAGAAUAAGGAUCGGCUAACUCCGUGCCAGCAGCCGCGGUAAUACGGAGGAUCCAAGCGUUAUCCGGAAUCAUUGGGUUUAAAGGGUCCGUAGGUGGAUAAUUAAGUCAGGGGUGAAAGUUUGCAGCUCAACUGUAAAAUUGCCUUUGAUACUGGUUAUCUUGAAUUAUUGUGAAGUGGUUAGAAUAUGUAGUG
rnacentral:rRNA from 2 species